rnacentral:rRNA from 1 species
UACGAAGGGGCUAGCGUUGCUCGGAAUCACUGGGCGUAAAGGGUGCGUAGGCGGGUCUUUAAGUCAGGGGUGAAAUCCUGGAGCUCAAACUCCAGAACUGCCUUUGAUACUGAGGAUCUUGAGUUCGGGAGAGGUGAGUGGAACUGCGAGUGUAGAGGUGAAAUUCGUAGAUAUUCGCAAGAACACCAGUGGCGAAGGCGCUCACUGCCCGAUACUGACGCUGAGGAGCGAAAGCGUGGGGAGCCGAACGAGGA